rnacentral:lncRNA from 1 species
AGGGGAAGAGGGGCUGCGGGGCUGCCCCUCGAAGGGGCAUCGUGCGCGCACACCCCCCUUUUUUUUUUGGGGGGGGGGGGGGGGGGGGCCGGCCCCGGGGCGCCCCCCCCCCCCCGUUUGGGGGGGGGGGGGGCGGGGGGGGGCCGCCCCCCCCCCCCCCGCCGCCGGCGGGGCGGGGGGGGGGGUCGCUUUGCUGCGGCCAGGCCGGCCGGAGGUGGGGAGCCGCCUCCCCGCGGCUGCCGGGGGGAGAAAGUGGGGGGAAGGCAGGGGGCGCCGCGGGGGGGCGCGGGCAUCCGCCGGGGGAAGGCAUGGGGCAGAGCGGGGCUCGGAGGGGGGAUUGCAGAGGGGUGUUUAGGAUCCCCCCCCUCCUCGCACGGGAAACUUGCAGGGAGGGUCUCUCCCUCCCCGCUGACAAAAGGGCUGAUUUGGGGAGCAGGGCGGUGUUCGCCCCCUCCCCUUCCCCCGGCUGACAACGGCUGGGGGCCGCUCCGUUCCCCCUACGCCCCCCCCCCCACCUACCCACCCCGCUUCCCUUUUCCCUUCCCAUCCCGGCUCGGCUCCUCCAGGUGCCCUCUGCCCUUCCCGGUGGGCCGGGGCGUGCGGGGGGGAAGGAGGGGGCAAAGCGGGCAACUUCUGCGAACUUUCUGCGCGGGGGUUGCGCCUGCGUGUGCGCGCCGGGCCGGGCGAGCCGAGCCGAGCCGGGGCCGGGCCGGGCUGAGCCGAGCCGCGGAGGCUCCGCGUUCGCGCAGCCCCGGGGCGGCCGCCGGCGCCUCUCGGGAGGGGUGGGUGGGGUGGGGGCCCGGCCGCCGCAGUGCCGUGUGGCUGCGUGUGUGCGCGGGGCGGGGAGGAGGAGGAGGAGGAGGAGGAGGAGGAGGAGGAGGGAUGGCAGCCGGCUGGGCGCGGGGUCCCCGUGCGGGCGGGGCGGGCGGCGCCGCGCUCACCGCGGGGCUGCAAGGACGGGGGGGCGGCGGCGGUGGCGGUGGUGGUGGUGGCAGCGCCAGGAGCGGGGCCCCAGGCUUUUGGGGCGAGGGGGGAGAGGUGCCCCAAACCCUCCUCCCUCCGCGCAGCGCGGGGGCGCUGCGGGCCCCCCGCUGCCGCCGCGCUCCUCGGGGGCCGCCGGGCGCGGAGUAA